AUGAGGGCAACAAGUGAUGAAGGGAAGCUGAUGAACAGGUGAUGAUGACGACAUGCGACGAAAAGCGACGAGUGAUGAACAGGUGGGCGCUGAGGACAACGAGCAAUAAGGGCGACAGUCAAUAGAACUCUCUUGCUCUUGUGGUGGCGGCUUCGAUUACAGAAAAAUGGCUGCUGCUGCUCUCUUCCUUUUCUGUAAUAUAAUUUUUCUUUCUCUCUUUUUUUUUUUAGUUUCGUGUUUGAUUGAUUAUUGAACUAUAAGAAUUAUUGAACUCUUCAAGCAUUUGAAAGAGUUCCAGCCGCCCGUUAUCAUAAAGGGAUCGGACAAUUUGCAG
rnacentral:lncRNA from 1 species